UGGCACAUUUGCGUGAGCGCAUGUUACGGUAUGAUAUUUACAUAGAAAAUGAUUAAAUAGUCUACUAUAUUUACAAUUAAGUGUCAAAAACCUACUUGGCUUGACAACUCCAUUUGUUUUUUCAAGUAUUUUUUAGA